rnacentral:rRNA from 1 species
GGUUGUAAACAGAGGGGCUCAUGAUAAAAAUUUUUUAAUUAAUAAAAAUGUGAUUUUAGUUUUUUUGAAUGUUUAUUUUUAUUUUUUACAUAUAGCUUAUAUUUGAUAGAUUUAUUAUUUGGGAAUUGAAUUUAAUAGUUUGUUUUAGGGUUUAUUUAGUUUGGGAUAAUAACUGGGAUUAAGUGAGUGCCAGCUAUAGCGGUUAAACUCACCCAGUAUCAUUUAGAUUACAUAAGGUUUGUUUAAUAAAAUUUGUUAAUUGUUUGGUGAAAUAUUAAAAUUGAUGGAUUUUAUUAAUUUUUGGAUCUGAAGGAGACUAAGACUGGGAUUAGAACCCCAUUAUGUUAUAAGGAAUAUUCUUGUGGGUAUUAAAUGUGAAUCAUUAAAUCUAAGGAAUCUGGCGGCAUAGAACGUAUUUAGAGGGACUUGUGGACUUAAAUUGAUAAUCCACGAUUGGAGAUACUUUGAUUUAAUGUUUGUAUAUUGUUGUUUUUAGGAGAUUUUAAUAAAUUUUCUGUUAACUUAAAAAAGGGAUACUUCAAAUCAAAACGCAGUUUUCAAAGGGUUUCAUGAGUCACAUUAUUUUAAUUUAUUGAUAUUAAGGUUUUUAAUUAUUUUAUGAUAAAGGAUUUAAAAGUAAAUUGAAAUAAGAAUUUCACUUGAACUAAAGUUUAUGAGUACAAAUCGCCCGUCAUUCCUCUUAUCUAAAUGGUGAGGACAAGUCGUAACAAAGUAAAUGUACUGGAAAGUGUAUUUUAAUUUAAUUUUUAUUUAAAUUUUAUUUAAAUAUUCACUUUGUGAUAAAUUAAUA